UACGAAGGGGGCUAGCGUUGCUCGGAAUCACUGGGCGUAAAGGGUGCGUAGGCGGGUCUUUUAAGUCAGGGGUGAAAUCCUGGAGCUCAACUCCAGAACUGCCUUUGAUACUGAAGAUCUUGAGUUUGGGAGAGGUGAGUGGAACUGCGAGUGUAGAGGUGAAAUUCGUAGAUAUUCGCAAGAACACCAGUGGCGAAGGCGGCUCACUGGCCCGAUACUGACGCUGAGGCACGAAAGCGUGGGGAGCAAACAGG
rnacentral:rRNA from 1 species